CAUGGUUGUCGUCAGCUCGUGUCGUGAGAUGUUGGGUUAAGUCCCGCAACGAGCGCAACCCUUGUCUUCAGUUACCAGCAUUGGAGUUUGGGGGACUCUGGAGAGACUGCCGGUGACAAACCGGAGGAAGGUGGGGAUGACGUCAAAUCAUCAUGCCCCUUAUGACCUGGGCUACACACGUACUACAAUGGCGUAUACAACGGGAAGCGAAGUGGUGACACGGAGCAAAUCUCACAAAGUACGUCUCAGUUCAGAUUGAAGUCUGCAACUCGACUUCAUGAAGUCGGAAUCGCUAGUAAUCGCAGGUCAGCAUACUGCGGUGAAUACGUUCCCGGGCCUU
rnacentral:rRNA from 1 species